rnacentral:rRNA from 1 species
UUGACCUCAAAUCAGGUAGGACUACCCGCUGAACUUAAGCAUAUCAAUAAGCGGAGGAAAAGAAACUAACAAGGAUUCCCCUAGUAACUGCGAGUGAAGCGGGAAAAGCUCAAAUUUAAAAUCUGGCAGUCUUUGGCUGUCCGAGUUGUAAUCUAGAGAAGUGUUGCCCACACUGGACCGUGUACAA